CUUAUGUUAAUAAAAAAAGAAAAAUGUGAGAAUCUCAUCCCUGCCUAAAGUACGCGAAAGGAUCAUUCAGCCAUAUACAUACACCUACAGUCGGACAAUGUUUCAAUCUGACAGUCUCUAUGGUCUUCCUUGCUUCAUGCCCUGCACAGACAGUCAAACUGUUACUGCUCUAUAUAAUGUGGUCCCUCCCCCACCGGGUUCAUGCAGAGGAUUGAUGGAAGAACAGGAGAACCCUCCUCUACCACCUUGCAAUGGGCACAGCUAUAGCAAAG